UACGUAGGGUGCAAGCGUUAAUCGGAAUUACUGGGCGUAAAGCGUGCGCAGGCGGUUUUUGUAAGUCUGUCGUGAAAGCCCCGGGCUCAACCUGGGAAUUGCGAUGGAGACUGCAAGGCUUGAAUCUGGCAGAGGGGGGUAGAAUUCCACGUGUAGCAGUGAAAUGCGUAGAGAUGUGGAGGAACACCGAUGGCGAAGGCAGCCCCCUCGGGUCGAAGAAUUG
rnacentral:rRNA from 1 species